ensembl:lncRNA
GAAAUUUCCCAGAAACAAUCUGCAGAUGGGAGGUUGGUAGCGCUCUGGGUAGGGAUUUCAGGGCUGUGGACACAGAAGUGAUAGCCAACACCCUACAUUGUCUCCAUCCCAGUGGUAACCCUGCUGGUUGCAGUCCUUGUAGAGGACCCAGCAAAUGUGUGGAUGUACCAGAUACUAAAGACAUUCAGAUGCUUCCCAGGGAUGCCAUCCUGGCCUCCAUCCGAGUGUGACUGUGUUAAUGAACUCCUCUCAUUCAGUCUUGAAGGCUUCUUGGGGGCCUGCACUUGAGGUACUAAUACUCCCCCAGAGGGAGAGUGAUUUACCCAAGAUCCUGCAUAGGGUCAGUGACAGACCAGGGAUUAGAACCCAGGUGUUAGACAUGAAGACAGCUGACAUCACAACUGGAAUACAAGAGACAGAACCCAGAGAAAGGUCCCCAUACGUGCUGUUAACUCACUGUGCAUCCAGGAGCGAGCCACUUUGCCUGUGUCCCCAUCGCAAUGGUGAAGAAGUGAAGGGUUGGCCGGCCUCCCUAAGAUCCCUUCCAGUUCUGACUUCCUAGGGCUUCAUGGCAGGCUCUGACACACAC